UUCAAUCUCAUUAUUUGCAUGUUUAAUUUAAUAUUCAUGCAAUUAAUUGUGCUUUCAAUUAGUGUGGAAGUUGAUAUGUUUGAUUUUGUGCAUGUACUUUAUUUUUUCUAUUUUCUGUUAGAAAUUAAUUUACUUUUCCUUGGAAAUCGUUGAGCUCCUAGAAGUUUUUGCCUUUUUUCUUAAUUUGAUCGAAAUCCAUUUCUUACCCACAUAACCUAGAGUCUCCUGAUGAGUUUUUCGUCGUUCUCAGUGUGUCUGAUUUAAUUUAAUUUUUUUUUUUUCGAUUUACAGAUGGAUUUUGUGUUUAAAUUUUCUUUUUAUAAUUUUGGGGGUUUUGUUUAUGUGCUCGGAUGCUGUGUGUGGCUGUCUGAUUUCGUUCUUUUUUUGCUUUCAGCAAACGCUGGUGUUCUUAUUUUGGGGUUUUGCUGAGGGUAUAUAAUUUGUUGAAAUAUUUAGUUUUUAAUACAUUAACAAUUUUGCUGGGUCAGUUUUUGUUACCGACUGUUUUUUUUUUUUUUUUUUUUUUAACUUUCGAUCUCCUUCUAUUUGAGUGGUAUGCUGGUAUACAAUUUAUUGUCCUAAAUUCACAAUCUUACACUUCACAAAUUUCACUGCUCAACCUAUACUCAGGUAAUCAGUUCAAAGUUGGACUAUUUUAACCCUUUCAGUUUUUAGACUCUAUAAUGUUAAAUCCAGUGUUUUAUUUUGAUUCUACAUUCAUUUUGAUUUUACUUUUGACUUUCAGUCUACGUUCAUUUUGAUUGAGUUGUUUUAAGGAUUUUGUGGGAGGACUCCCUUUGGAAUUGCCGAAUGCUGUUAUUUGUCGGGUGGAUGCCUUGGACGUAGAGUUAAUUCCUACUAAAAAGUCAUUUCGAACUCGGAUUCAGCCAGCCUGUGAUCUGUGCAAAAUAUCCAUAUAUGGAUCAGUGCCAUGGACUCUUCUCAACCUAUGGACCUCAAAUCUCAUAUACGAACAUAAAAAAAAGCCUCCAAACCUCCAAAGACAGUAGCAAGAUCUUUGUUGAUGGUAAGCUAUUAUUCUCUGAGAUCUGUUUCUUUUUGUUUAUUUCACAUGUGUGGCUAUUUAUUGAAAUUUGAUUUGUCAAGAACUGGAGAUGGUCUCGAUUUUAAGGUUAAAAUUGAAUCAUCCAUGAUUUUAAAAUAAUGGUAUUUUUAUUAAACCUAUAACGAUGGACGUGUAGGUUAUACAUGCGGAUUGUCACAUUAUUGUAGUUCUCAAUUGAUUUAUGGUAGGUAGUUCUCAAUUGAUUUAUGGUAUGUGUGUGAUUUUAGAUUGUAAUGUAUCACAAAUUUGUGGCUUGAAAAUUGAUAUUUGUAGACUUACCCUUUAUUUUUUGGCUGUGAUGGGGGAAAGGAAAAUAAAAUUUCAAAGAUUGAUACUUUUAUGUGAUUUCUUGGCUCUUUUUUUCAUAUGAUUUUCAUUGUAUGUGUGCCAGUGUAUGUCUCUUCUUGAAAAAUGCAUGUUGAAAAUGGGAGAAUUUUGGACAUUGACAUGUUUAGAAGUCAGGUUUUCUGAAUGAAGAUACUCUUAUGAUUUGUUUGUAAUUUGUUUUGCAAAUGGGUAGGAAUGUCAUUCUAAAAGGAUAUUGGCAGGAGGGGGUGGAAUGUCAUUCUAAGAUAUAUAUAUCAGCAGCAAGGGUGUGGAAGCUCACACGCUCAGAUUUCAACGCGUUUCGAAGGUGGAAAUGACAAGAAUGUGCAGUGUGGACCUCCAAUUUCUAGUGCUAUGAUGCAUGAGGACUGCCAAAGUGAGAAUACUGGUUAGUUGUCAUCAAGCAGCCCUUGUAGAUGUGUAUUUUGUUUAUAUAUUGCUAGUUUAACCAUUAGUACGUUUGACUUGGGGAUACAAGCUUGGAUAUGUUAUAUUUUGUUGUAUAUAGAGAAUCCCGGGUAUGUCCAGCAUAGGAUAACAUGUAUUUUUUGGUUUAACAUUUGGAUGGGUUGUAUUGUUAGGUUGCAUGAAUCGGUCUUAGCCGAGAACAUGGGUUAUGUAAUAUAUUGACUUCACUAUUUUAGUGCUAAUGUUGAUUUAUGUUUAGUUUGUAAUGGAUGAUUUGUAAGUUUCUAAAUUUAGGUGGAAAUUAGGUUCUAUGAGCAA